rnacentral:rRNA from 1 species
UACGAAGGGGACUAGCGUUGUUCGGAAUUACUGGGCGUAAAGCGCGCGUAGGCGGAUCGCUAAGUCAGGGGUGAAAUCCCAGGGCUCAACCCUGGAACUGCCUUUGAUACUGACGAUCUGGAGAUCGGGAGAGGUUGGUGGAAUUCCGAGUGUAGAGGUGAAAUUCGUAGAUAUUCGGAGGAACACCAGAAGCGAAGGCGGCCAACUGGCCCGAUACUGACGCUGAGGCGC